GACGAACGCUGGCGGCGUGCUUAACACAUGCAAGUCGAACGGAAAGGCCCUGCUUUUGUGGGGUGUUCGAGUGGCGAACGGGUGUGUAACACGUGAGUAACCUGCCCUUGACUUUGGGAUAACUUCAGGAAACUGGGGCUAAUACCGGAUAGGAGCUCCUGCUGCAUGGUGGGGGUUGGACAGUUUCGGCGGUUGGGGAUGGACUCGCGGCUUAUCAGCUUGUUGGUGGGGUAGUGGCUUACCAAGGCUUUGACGGGUAGCCGACCUGAGAGGGUGACCGGCCACAAUGGGACGGAGAUACGGCCCAGACUCCUACGGGAGGCAGCAGUGGGGAAUAUUGCACAAUGGGCGGAAGCCUGAUACAGCAACGCCGCGUGCGGGAUAACGGCCUUCGGGUUGUAAACCGCUUUCGCCUGUGACGAAGCGUGAGUGGCGGUAAUGAGUAAAGAAACACCGGCUAACUACGUG
rnacentral:rRNA from 1 species